ACGGAAUUGGAAGAUUUGAAGGUGAGAUCUCUUGCAUUUAUUGUUACAUAAUACAAUACGUAAUAUAUGUAGUAUAGUUGCUGUUGCGUACUUCCCUAGAAACAUUAGUAGCCGAGUAACAGUUUAGUCAGCCCAAAUAAGUAUAUUUUAGCUGAAUAAACUGUAGCUCAGCUAAAAAUGUUACUUGGGUUGGAAAUCUUGAAACCUUAAAACAUCCAGGAGGCUGCGAUCAGCUCAGAAAUAUCCUAUUAGGGUUACUCAACCUACAGUUGUCUUCACUUUUUUAGUUUUUUCACAAGAUUGCCUACUGCUGAAAUAGAUGAAUCAAGCAUCGUAUGGCAAACCAAGACGAACAGAGUAAAAAUAGCAGAAUUUUGAUGCACGAAAUUGUGAUAAUCGAAAGGUGGAAGCAGCACUUCUACAAACACCUUAAUUGCGAUGUAAUGCCUGUUGAUGGUUAAGGCAUUUAUUACUUCUACUGUCUACAUCAGUUCAGAGGAGAAAUUCAGUUCAGAGGAUAGAAAACAAUUAUUAGACACCUCGAGAAAAAAUAGGAUCACGGAGAAAAAACGCCCUAGUUUGAAACAACCAACAUGUUUGUUGAAUUUCAAACUGCAAAUAUUGUUAUUUUAAAUCCAAAAUUUGUUGUUCCGAAUUCAUUGUUUUGUUUAAAACUAAUUUGUUUAUUAGGUUGUUUCAAUAUGAAAUCUUGUGUCGUUAUAAUGUGAAUAAUUGUUGUUUCAAACUAAGCUUUUAGGUUGUUUCUACAAACGGCUGGUUUGAUUUUACUAAAAAUUAGGUUAUUUGUUUCUCUAGGUGUCAAAAUAGAAUAAUGGGUUGGUUCGACGAAAAUUGUACGUUGAAUCAAACUUAGAUUUUAUUUGGAUUAGAAACAACCAAAAUUUCAGUUUGAAACUAACCAACUUCAUGUGUUGUUUCUACGAAAGCAAAACUGGUCAACUCAAAUAUGUUAAGUAACUGCAAUUUGUUCCCAGUGAUAAGCAUUUCAACUGGAGUUGCUUGUGAAGAUCCUAUAACGAACGAGAAAUGCUGCGGCUAACCCUUCAUUUUUCUGUUGAAUUCCGAAGCAGAAUGAUUGGAGAAAGUAUGCGUCAUGGCAGAAAAUUUCCAGAAGAUAAGGGCGUGCAGUUUUCGAAAGCAAGAGCCUGGUGUUUCAGGAAUUAUGAUAUGUAAUAAUUAUCUUUGAAGACAUCUACUUUACGAAACCUAAAUGAAUAAUAUAAUAUACCUCAUAAAAUA